AUGUUGACUUUGUAAGUUUGCCGUGUGGCUUUUAUUUAGCUGCGACCUUUGUUCAAUGUAGUAUGAAGGAAAAAGGUGGAAUGUCAUAAGAUUAUCUCGUCUAACCCAUCUUUAAAAAUUCCCGCUCUAACACUAUUCCUAUCCGUCUACUAAUGAGGAAAGGAUGCGAAGUGUAGCGUUUACGCUCGCUUCUUUCAUUGCAUAUGAGAAGUCGACUCUAAAGUAUGAAACUUAGUACCCAUGUAAUAUCAGACGGCCCUUUGCAGCUCGAUUUUUUAUACUCCUGCUUGCACAGGUUUUACAUUUCACUAUGAGAGGUUUCCAAUGAGUGAUAAGAUGUUUUUUAGGGUUAUUACAUAAAGAUCUUCAUUUGCUUCAA